rnacentral:rRNA from 1 species
AGUGAACGCUGGCGGUAGGCUUAACACAUGCAAGUCGAACGGCAGCACAGUAAGAUCUUGCUCUUAUGGGUUGCGAGUGGCGGACGGGUGAGGUAUACAUCGUACUCUCCCUUUUCGUGGGGGAUAACGUAGGGAAACUUACGCUAAUACCGCAUACGAUCUACGGGUGAAAGCAGGGGAUCUUCUCACCUUGCGCGUCUGAAUGAGCCGAUGUCUGCUUAGCUCGUUGGCGGGGUAAAGGCCCACCAAGGCGACGAUCCGUAGCUAGUCUGAGAGGAUGGUCAGACACGGUAAAACCGAGACGGGGUCCAGACUCGUAGGGGGGGGGGGAGUGGGGAAUAUUGGAGAAAGGGCGAAGGCCUGAGCCAGCCAUACCGCGUGGGUGAAGAAGGCCAACGGGAUGGAAAGCGCUUUUGUAGGGGAAGAAAAACAACGGGUAAAUACCCAGCUGUUGACACGGUACCGAAAGAAUAAGCACCGGCUCACUGCG